rnacentral:lncRNA from 1 species
UUCAGCAUCAAUUCUACUCCUAUUUUUUGUUUUUUGUAGACAUAAGCACUGAGAAAUGUUGUCAUAUAAACAAGCAGAUAGGAAUGACAGAGUUCUGGCAUAGCAAUGCCACUUGAUUCUUUUCGCUCUUUCUGAAUUAUACAGCACACACAAAAAAUCGCACAGUGACUCGUCCCCAAACAUUAGUCCUAACGGUCAACCAACUGCCAACUCAAUUCAACUCGUGUUCUCUGGCGAUUCUGCUGGAAGUGAAGACCCGGAAACCACCCAGCCUGCACAGGGCUUGUCCUCUAGUCCUUAGGCGUUUGCUUUCUCAAUCUCUGUACCCAUCUUUCCAGCUGUCCUUGGGUUUGAGGCCCUGGAGGUUUUCCUGUGGCAGCCCGAGGUCCAUGUCACUUUAAGGAGGGGCUCGAGGGAGGCUUUUCAAGGCCGGAGAAGGACAAGGGUAAAAGGAGAACCUAGCCCUCCAGCACAGGCCUGCUCUGGGGCAGACAGCUUUAGGAAAGAGCGUACGUCUGGAGACUGACCCCUUGACUAUCUGUGUCUACCUUCCCCUUGGAAAGUCUCUGCAUACCCCAGUGUGAAGACUGAGCCGCAGGGUGCACUGAGCUCUUCCUCCCUCAAACCUAGGCAGGUGUCUAGGUGCUUAGGGAAAGGCAAAGACAUCUGAAAAGAAACAAAACAUGUCCACAGCCCUUACCCCAUCCCAAGAAAAACUGCAAGUAAAGACGAGGCUACAAAAAGGUGCCACGGGACCGAGGGCCAGACAGCCUUCCACUGCAUAAACAUUUCCCCCCGGCUGCAUCUUCCUAACUGGGAUUUAGCCAUGUGGAGAAGCUAAACUAUCAAUCCUCCAGGUUAACCUUGUUCCAUCGGAUUCUCCAGGGUCAGUAGCUUGCAGCACUGAGGAUUCUGAAGGAAUUGUACCAUCC